UACGUAGGGUACUAGCGUUGUCCGGAUUUAUUGGGCGUAAAGGGCUUGUAGGUGGUUUGUCGCGUCUGUCGUGAAAUCCUGUGGCUUAACCAUGGGCCUGCAUUCGAUACGGGCAAACUAGAGUUCGGUAGGGGAGACUGGAACUCCUGGUGUAGCGGUGAAAUGCGCAGAUAUCAGGAAGAACACCGGUGGCGAAGGCGGGUCUCUGGGCCGAUACUGACGCUGAGGAGCGAAAGCGUGGGGAGCAAACAGG
rnacentral:rRNA from 1 species